GACGAACGCUGGCGGCGUGCCUAAUACAUGCAAGUAGAACGCUGAAGGCGGAGCUUGCUUCUCUGGAUGAGUUGCGAACGGGUGAGUAACGCGUAGGUAACCUGCCUGGUAGCGGGGGAUAACUAUUGGAAACGAUAGCUAAUACCGCAUAAUAGUAGCUGUUGCAUGACAUUUGCCUAAAAGGUGCAAUUGCAUCACUACCAGAUGGACCUGCGUUGUAUUAGCUAGGUGGUGUGGUAACGGCGCACCAAGGCGACGUUACAGAUCAGACCGGAGAGGAGGAUCGGCCACACUGGUACGGAGACACGGCCCAGCGUCAUAGGGGAGGCAGCAGUAGGGAUACUGCGGCAAGGGACGGAAGACUGACCGAGCAACGCGGAGGGAGUGAAGAGGGUUUUCGGAUCGUAAAGCUCUGUUGUAAGAGAAGAACGAGUGUGAGAGUGGAAAGUUCACACUGUGACGGUAUCUUACCAGAAAGGGACGGCUAACUACGUG
rnacentral:rRNA from 1 species